rnacentral:rRNA from 1 species
UACGUAGGGUGCGAGCGUUGUCCGGAAUUAUUGGGCGUAAAGAGCUCGUAGGCGGUUUGUCACGUCUGCUGAUGAAAUCCCGAGGCUCAACCUCGGGCCUGCAGUGGGUACGGGCAGACUGGAGUGCGGUAGGGGGAGAAUGGAAUUCCUGGUGUAGCGGUGAAAUGCGCAGAUAAUCAGGAGGAACACCGGUGGCGAAGGCGGCACUCUGGGGCCGGUACUGACGCUGAGGAGCGAAAAGCGUGGGGAGCGAACAGGGA